CCUACGGGGGGCAGCAGUGGGGAAUAUUGGGCAAUGGACGCAAGUCUGACCCAGCAACGCCGCGUGAAGGAAGAAGGCUUUCGGGUUGUAAACCUCUGUUAAGGGGGAAGAGCAGAAGACGGGACCCCUAGAAUAAGCCAGGGCUAACUCGGUGACAGCAGCCGCGGUAAUACGGAGGUGGCAAGCGUUGUCCGGAGUUCCUGGGGGGAAAGGGCGGGAAGGCGGUGAGACAAGGCAGAUGUGAAAUCCACGGGCUCAACCCGUGAACUGCCUUUGAAACUGUUUCCCUUGAGUGUCGGAGAGGUAAUCGGAAUUCCUUGUGUAGCGGUGAAAUGCGUAGAUAUCAGGAAGAACACCAGUGGCGAAGGCGGCUUACUGGACGAUAACUGACGUUGAGGCGCGAAAGCGUGGGUAGCAAACAGGAUUAGAUACCCUAGUAGUC
rnacentral:rRNA from 1 species